rnacentral:misc_RNA from 1 species
GCAUAAGACGUUUCUCAUCACCAACAGCACACACAGGCAAAUCUGGAGCCAUGAUCAAAGUCAUGGACAACUUCUUUAAGGAUGCGAUGGGCUUUAUCAAAUUAACAACCUCUUUAAAAACCUCAUGAAGAUUGAAGAUCCUAAUUUCUAACUCCAGGCUGCGAUCUUCAAGUCUAGAAAGAUCUAAAACAUCAUUAGUAAGUGUUGCCAAAAGGUUACUACUCUUUAGUACUGUCUCAAUCAUUGCUCUUUGUUCUGGAGUUAGGUCGGUCUCUAAAAGAAGUGAAGACAAUGCAAUAAUUGCAUGCAUUGGUGUCCUCAUUUCAUGGUUCAUCACAGCAAGGAAAUCAUUGCGAGCAUGAAUUGCCAUUUCUGCCUCUCGACGAGCUGAUUUUAAAGCAACAUUCUGCUCCAUGAGCUGAUCGCGUGCCCGCAUAGACUCUUCCAGGAUAGCAGCAUGAGACAAAGCAACUGCAACCUGAUCUGCAACAACUUCAACAAGUUCCAACUCAUGGUCCCGCCACUUUCUAGCACCGUCCGUAGGGAGAAUCAGAACCAUUACUGCAUAGCUUUUUGCAGAAAGGUCUGGCCAAUCAUUGAUUUGGAAAUUUGAAAGAUGUAAAAGGGGCACACGAACAGCAACAACCUCUGGUGGUGUGUAUCUACCUACAAGAGGUCUGAUCCUAGCCAGUGGGCAGGUAUAUGGUAUGCGCAUUGCUCGAGCACUGUUGAAGACUUCAUUGACUAUAGGAAGGUUUAUCGGCACACUAGUUCCAAGUUGUAUUUGGUAAUGUAGGGUAUGAGAAAGUUGCAGAGUCAUAUCAGAUCGAGAUGGCAUCCACAAUGCACAUUCCUCCAGACCCAAGGUCCUACCCAACUCAACAAGGGUGGUUUUCAAUAUAGUAUGUCUGUCGAGUGUACUUCUAAUUUCAUGAGUCAGCAUUCUUACAUGCCUUCCAGUUUCUUCCUGUGUAAGAAUAAGUCCCAUCUCCCUGUCAAGUUCUUCAGCCUUGUUCUUAAGAAAUAAUUCCCGAGUUUUAACACUCAAAAGAUCAGG